rnacentral:rRNA from 1 species
AGUCGAGCGCAGGAAGUUAUCUGAUCCUCUUUUAGAGGUGACAAUAAGGGAAUGAGCGGCGGACGGGUGAGUAACACGUAGGCAACCUGCCUGUAAAACUGGGAUAACUCGGGGAAACCCGAGCUAAUACCGGAUAACAUUUUUCUUCUCCUGAUGAAAAGUUGAAAGGGGGUUUUUGCUGUCACUUACAAAUGGGCCUGCGGCGCAUUACCUAGUUGGUAAGGUAACGGCUUACCAAGGCAACAAUGCUUAGCCAACCUGAAAGGGUGAUCGGCCACACUGGGACUGAAACACGGCCCAAACUCCUACGGAAGGCAGCAGUAGGGAAUCUUCCGCAAUGGACAAAAGUCUGACGGAGCAACGCCGCGUGAGUGAUGAAGGUUUUCGAAUCGUAAAACUCUGUUGUUAGGGAAAAACAAGUGCCAUAGUAACUGAUGGCACCUUGACGGUACCUAACCAAAAAGCCACGGCUAACUACUUGCCACCACCCGCGGUAAUACUUAGGUGGCAAGCGUUGUCCGGAAUUAUUGGCCGUAAAGCGCUCGCAGGCGGUUCUUUAAUUCUGAUGUGAAAUCUUACGGCUCAACCGUAAACGUGCAUUGAAACUUGGAGGACUUGAGUGCAAAAAA